GGGCGGAGGCUCCGCGGCCUCCGGCGCCCGACUCUGUGCCGCGCUGCCUCCCACGCACCUCUGCUGCCCCUUCCUCCGCAGGUGCUGCUUGUGGUGUUGCCAUGGAAACCCGGACGGUUACGCAGCGGCAACGGGAGGAGGAGUCGUCCCGGAUGUCUCACGGCGUAGAGCUGUCCUCGCAGAUCAAGAAGAGGACCUUCACGUCCAGCUGAUAAGCAUUUACUAAACAGCAGCAUAUGGCAGACUAGACAUUACAGUCAAUCAGCUGCACCCAGCAGACCACCGGCAGGAGCUGCCAAG
rnacentral:lncRNA from 1 species